rnacentral:rRNA from 1 species
UACAGAGGUCUCAAGCGUUGUUCGGAUUCAUUGGGCGUAAAGGGUGCGUAGGCGGCGCGGUAAGUCGGGUGUGAAAUCUCGGAGCUUAACUCCGAAACUGCAUUCGAUACUGCCGUGCUUGAGGACUGGAGAGGAGAGUGGAAUUCCUGGUGUAGCGGUGAAAUGCGUAGAUAUCAGGAGGAACACCGGUGGCGAAGGCGGCUCUCUGGACCACAACUGACGCUGAGGCGCGAAAGCUAGGGGAGCAAACAGG